AUUGAACGCUGGCGGCAGGCCUAACACAUGCAAGUCGAACGGUAACAGGAAGAAGCUUGCUUCUUUGCUGACGAGUGGCGGACGGGUGAGUAAUGUCUGGGAAACUGCCUGAUGGAGGGGGAUAACUACUGGAAACGGUAGCUAAUACCGCAUAACGUCGCAAGACCAAAGAGGGGGACCUUCGGGCCUCUUGCCAUCGGACGUGCCCAGAUGGGAUUAGCUAGUUGGUGGGGUAACGGCUCACCAAGGCGACGAUCCCUAGCUGGUCUGAGAGGAUGACCAGCCGCACUGGAACUGAGACACGGUCCAGACUCCUACGGGAGGCAGCAGUGGGGAAUAUUGCACAAUGGGCGCAAGCCUGAUGCAGCCAUGCCGCGUGUAUGAAGAAGGCCUUCGGGUUGUAAAGUACUUUCAGCGGGGAGGAAGGGAGUAAAGUUAAUACCUUUGCUCAUUGACGUUACCCGCAGAAGAAGCACCGGCUAACUCCGUGCCAGCAGCCGCAGUAA
rnacentral:rRNA from 1 species